rnacentral:tRNA from 1 species
GCGGGAGUUGCCAAGCCAGGUCAAAGAGACCCUUCGAUCACGGGUCUUGGAAGCGCAGGCCUGAGGCGCCUGUCCCGUAGGGGUUCGUGGGUUCGAAUCCCACCUCCCGCACCA